ACAGUUGUGGCUCAGUGGUAGAGCACUUGCCUGGCAUGUGUGAGGCCCUGGGAUCAAAUCCCAGCACUGCA
rnacentral:tRNA from 1 species